AUACGUAGGUGGCGAGCGUUGUCCGGAUUUACUGGGCGUAAAGGGUGCGUAGGUGGUUUCUUAAGUCAGGAGUGAAAGGCUACGGCUUAACCGUAGUAAGCUCUUGAAACUGGGAAACUUGAGUGCAGGAGAGGAGAAGGGAAUUCCUAGUGUAGCGGUGAAAUGCGUAGAGAUUAGGAAGAACACCAGUGGCGAAGGCGCUUCUCUGGACUGUAACUGACGCUGAGGCUCGAAAGCGUGGGGAGC
rnacentral:rRNA from 1 species